rnacentral:tRNA from 1 species
GCCGGGAUGGCGGAACUGGUAGACGCACAGGACUCAAAAUCCUGCGGUGGCAACACCAUGUGGGUUCGAUUCCCUCUCCCGGCA